UCAAGGAAGAGAGGAGCUAUACCUCCACUCACCCCAAAUGCCUACAUGGCGUAUAGUGGGACAAACUUUACUUUACCUUACUUUUAUGGUCAUGGAAAUAAAUGUUUUUAAUAUUAAUGUUGUCAAGAAAGCUAUGAUUGUUUUCCUGUUUCUCUUUUAACAAGUACAGAGUUCAUUAUGAAGACUCCAGAAUAAAUGUGUUGCAACAUGUUCAGCUACCAUUUUAUCCAGAAUGUUACAGAAGGUGUGGACACACUUCCUGCUUUAUCACACUGGUAGGUCUCAUUUCAAAUAGCAUCAAACAUUUAAUCAGGUAACUUAACUCCAAUGUACAUGAAGAUGUCUUUUUUCUUUGUCACAUGGCUGAAUGACAGACCCAGAUCAGAUUUUAACCAAACAGCUUCUGAUUAUGAAGCAGGAGUGUUAUUCAUUACAGUAUAUAAUACCAGACAAGGAAUUUAGAACAUUCAGGUAUCAAUACAGGCAGGAGCUUGGCUUCCACGAAUAUUCAUCCAGCCUUUACAUACAGAAUUCUUUCUCUCUUUUUGGGGUGUGAAUGGAAAACUUUGUUUCCCAGUGUGACCUUGGUAUUUUUGGUCUCAUAUAUAGCACAAAAGCGUGUUCUGGAUUGCUGGUAAAAGUGAAAUUAAUAAUAAAAGCUGUAAAACUGCCUGCAGAGACAACAGUGAUUCCUAAACUAUGUCUGAGGGACUCCAAGAUACUCCGUACACACUAACUUCUUCACGAUCAUCAGCCUGAAUACAGUUUUCAACUAAAAUAUUGUUUGAAGUAUGCUCCCACCAUCAAAUACUCCAGUAGCACCAGAAAACGUUUUAAUCACUUCAUCUGUCUAUAUAAGUACCAAUAAGUGUACUUCAAGGACGUUUUUACUCAUCUUAUAUAAGUGUAUCAUGUUCUGAGGGUCCACAUGGCAGGUUACCAUCAGAUUUAUAUUUUGUCCAAAACAAAAUAUAAAACCCUGAAGCCUGUUUUAUUUAUGCAGCUCAGACUAUGUAGCGUUUAAUAGCAGAAUGAUUUGUAAAUAAUGAAAGAGGAAGGAUUUUGGAAGAAGUGAUUAUGGCCAAAUUUAAGGUACUGCCCUGUAACUUUACUGUAGGAACUGUGAAGAGCCAUGCAAGUGUCAGAAGAACCUGUUGGUGGGCCAAGAUUUGAACCCGGGAUCCCAAACACGUAGCAAGAAUGCUAAUGACUCAGUGGCUUCACAACGUUCAGUGUCGUCCUUUGUGCAUGAAAGAGAUUUCACAAUUGAAAACUGAAGAUGACUAAUCUGGAAUGUUCUUACUGCCUCCAUAAACAGGACAUGAUGGCGCAACAUCCCAGAAGACAGACAUUUUCUACUUGCCGCUGUAAGAACCUAAAAUCUUACGAAUUCAGUAUUGUUUUACUGCAGUGUGGUACCAUAAGUUGGUUUUUGUUUUGUUGUUCAGUUUAAGAAGUGUAUUCAACAAUCGAAAAGGACCUUGUACCAUGACGGAAUGAGGAACACUGUACCAGGCUACCCAAAUGUGUUGCUAUAGAAGAUGGGAUGGCAGGUGGCAGUCUUACAUAAUCUGCAAUGCAUCAGAAACAAUAAGUCAUGAUUAGUAAACAGGCCUACUUUGUAUGUGGUAGAAUAUGCGUACAGGAUAGACGAGAUGUGUGUGUGGACUCAGUGACCGUGAAUCGUAAUUUGCUGUCCUGGUUCAACAAAAUCCAAUUGCCUUCAACUCCUCUCUCCCACAGAUACCACUUCAUAAAAUCCUCCCAUUGACGUCUAAAUCUCCCCAGCAGUCCCUUUCCUUCAGGCUUCCUGACCAAUACCUGCUGCACACCUCUCUCCCCAUCCAUGCACGCCACAUGCCACACCCAUCUCAUUCUUCUUGAUUUCAUCACCCUGACAAUAUUGGGGGAGGAAUACAAAUUUGUAAGUUUGUAAUUAUAUAGUUUUCUCCAUGCCCCAUCCUCCUCUCCUAGGCCCAAAUAUCCUCAACACCCUGUUCUCAAAUAUCUGCAAUCUGUGAUCCUCCCUGAGAGUGAGAGACCAUGUUUCACACCCAUACAAAGUAACAGGCAAAAUAUCAUUUUCACUAGUAACAUGGUUCAUAUAUUCUUGUGUCUGAGCUAAACAUACUUAAUAAAGAUCACUUGUUCUUUUAAUUUUCAGUCUGCAAAAGAUAUGCGCGAGGCUUUGACAGCAGAAGUAGCUGAUAAACAUGAUCAAAAUUUGGCUCUUUGCUGUGAAAUACAACUUCUGGAAGAGAGAUAUUGUCAAGCAGACAUGCAAACAUAUUUCAGAGAUGUUAUUAUUAAAGAAAUGAGGAAAGAUUUAAAAGCUGCGAGGUUAAUCUAAUAUAUACAGUUUUAACUCAGUGUUAAAUUUGGAUUUUUGAGUGUGGGAUUUUAUAUUGAAUGUUUUGUUUCACAGCGUGCCUCCAUUGACCUAGACCAGCAGCAUCCUGUGGUUUGUAAUGGUAAGCAAUGCAUGUCUUCCUUUCUCCCUUCUAAUUGCCCCACUUGCCAGUCACAAUUCUCAUCUGUCCAACCUAACAGUGAGUAAGAACAACACUGUUUACUUAAUGUAACCUGUCGUCUUUAUAGCCAUCCUCAUGAACACCAGCAGGUUCAGUUUCCUGUUAACAAAUCAAACCAUGAUUUACAAGGGCACACAUCUCCUGAUAAACCUCAUAAUUCAUCUCUUCCAUACCAGCAUCUCUGCACUCCUGGAAAGAUAAUUAGACCUGUUAGUGAUAAGUUAUAUAAUGCUGAAAAUACUGAUGAAGCUCAAAUUCCAUCUGCCUGCAGAUGUAGUCCAUUUGCCAUACCCCCCAGACAUGUCAUUUCAGCUGGGUGCUGAAGAAACAUAUUAUGAAGUAUGUCGACGUAAUACUCAGCCUUCCAUAGAUGUGAAGUUAUCUGCUGAUAGAAAGGUUGUAUCUAGUCCUAAAGUUGAUACUGUACCUGUCCAGAAUCAUCCUAAACAGGUAGGAUCUGGAGUAAAACAUGUUCAUCAUAAAUGUGCAUGUGAUGAAAAAUAUAAUCCUACCUUGAGCCGAUCUUGUGAUUAUCAUCAUCAUCGCUAUUCAACCAUAUCCUAACUUUCCUCUACAUAAAGUUUAAAUAAUAGCACCAAGCAUGAUUUGAUCAAACAUGACUUGCAUGUUAUACAUUAUCACUCUUUAUGGUGUCAUCAAAACAGUGUUAUGGCUCUCUGAUUGUCAUUGGCAUUAGAGCCUACAUUGUUUAACUGCUUUUAAUAAAUGUUUUGUUGUUUGUUAGCUACUCUUAAUUUACAAUGUGUUUAUUAUUUUGAAACAUAUAAAAAGAGAUUUCCUGUGCUUUUCUGUAGCAAAGAGCAAUGUAUUUAAUAAAAAUUAUGAAUGUCAUUAGUGAAAUACUCUGUCUUGUGUACUUAAAAAUUAAAUGUUUAAUUCCAUGUUAAAAUUAUCACUGCAGUUUUUCUUUAACUUCAUAAUCCAUAAGUUCACUUCAUGUUACUGUUUUGUUCUUUCUGUAAAGAAUAUAUCCUCAUGAAGUUUUAUUUGCUCUUACAGUUUUACUAGUAUAUACAUGUGCAGCAUAUGCAUCAACAGUUUUAAUCAGAAAAGGAAAUUAAAAAUUUUGCCUUUAAAUAGGGCCUAGUAUUUUAGAAAGUGUUGUGGAAUGAAUCAUGAUUUUAUGAAGAGUGCUCUAAAUCAUUGAUUGUCUGUCUCCACAAAAAUAUUUGUAAAUUCCUGUAGUCAUUCACUCAUUGUACUAUAUGUAUUUCUGUAUUGGACAUGUUUUGAACUCAUUGGUCCAUCUUACAGUCCCUCGCUAUUGUCACAAACCACUUUGUUAUUGAAGUAAUUGAUUAAAAAACAAUAACAUAUCAAAUAUAUAAAUCUACAUAUUUUAUUACUGUGUUAUGCAAAGAAUGUUGUGUUAGUAAAUAUAGUUGGCUGAAUUAAGUCAUAGUUGAAGGUUAAAAUAAGAUAAAAACUUACAUUGACAAUCUUGGUUCUGUGUUGUGGCUGGAUAGACGUCAGAAUAUUAGAUGUGUAGAGUAUGCAUACAGUCACUUGUUCUGUUAGGUAUUAAGUAAGUAUAUUAAGAUUUAACUUCUGUGAUCACAGUCUUGAAUUGUGGUGCUGUAUUAUGGUGUGUCAUCGAGUAAGUUUAAUAUCUUGCAUGGAAUUGAAAUUAUUACAGAAUUUUACAUUGGAAGGCCAGAUAUUAUUUUUCUUUUAAUCAGUAGAAUGUUCCAAUAUCCAUUGCAUACCAUAAAUGGACAUUGUUCUGCCUGAUACCUUUUCUAAACACCCAUAUAAUUUCUGUAUUCACAUGGGAAGUGAGAUUUAUAAGAUGCAUGAUGCAAAGGUGCCAUAUCCUGAUUACAGUGCAUGAUAGUCCAUAACUUUUCAUGAAGCACAUUGUUUUCUGGUCUUAAUUACUGAUUUGAGUUGUAGUACAACAAUGUGAAUUCUGUGGUGAAAAAUAUUAUAUGCUGUAAUUUAUUUGUGACUGUAUGUGUAACAAUAAGUUUUUUUGAAUAAUGACAGUAAAUUUGAACUUUUGACACAGUUAAUGUUAAAAACAUUUUAAUAAUUCUGAAUUGACAUUUCCAUAUCCAGAAAAUUUAUUUGCAGUGCAUCUCAAUCCUGUACACAUUCAGUGAAUGAAAUAAAUACAAUUUAAUAAACUAAAACAUUACAGUCAGCAUAAGCACUUGGUGAAUUAGCAACUCCAGUGUAGGUGUUCAAAAUGAUCACUGAUAGCUUUGUGGAAUAGUUGACAGUGGUGAGCAGUUGACUGAAAAAAGCCAUCAGAGUUGCUGCUGUGUAUGGAACACUGUAUAAUUUUCUGUUUAUAUUCAGGGUCAUGAGAAUAUUCUAAAUAAGAGCAAGCAAGAUGAGGCAGUUCUAGUGACAUCAGAAGUACAGACUGAGCACUUUCUAUCGCCAGAGUUUUCAGGGGAUCACGGUGGAUGUAUUGUACAAUACCUGAAUAAGGAUGAGGAUGAGUUCAGAACCUUGAAUGAUCUUACUGAACAGAUAAAUGAACUUUCUGAUAUUCUGAAAGCAAGAAAAAGUAAGUAUGCAACACCAAUCAAGAAUGAAGAUGGGCUCAGUGGUGACACUUCUGUGACCUAUUCUUUGUCACCACUUGGGACAAAGAGCCACAAGAUUCUGAGUUACAGUGAAAAUAUAACAAAUACCCUUCAAGGUUAGUCAUAGUUUGUAUUAGUUUUUAUCUCCUAAAUUCCACAAAUGAAAUGGUCUUGGUCUCUGAUGAAAUCUGAGUUGGCUGAUGAGGCUGUUUUGAUUUCAUGAUCAGCUGUUCUGCCAAGACAAGCUACGAGACAAUGAUAGAGUGUGGAUUAUGAAAUAGUUAUAACAUUCUUCUUCUUUAUAUGAAGCAUUGGGAGUUUCAUGUGCUGUACUUCAUUAUUUGUCCUGAUUUAUUGAAGUUUAUUUCUUUUCUCUUG